UCCAUCAAAGCAUCAGGAACUAGGGAAACGACCCUCUCAACUUGGGUACAUUCCUAAACAAAACCUGUUGCUACCCCUUCUGCCAGCCAUGCUGUCUACUUCCUGCUCAGGAUUGAUAAUCCUGCUGAUGUUAGGAAGGACCAGUGGAGACUCAGUGAUGCAGACAGCAGACCCGGUCACCUUCUUCGAGGGCACAGCUCUGACCCUGAACUGCAACUACCAGACCAAUUAUCCACCUUUCCUUUUCUGGUAUGUCCAGCAUCCAAACAAAGGACUUGAGUUCCUCCUAAAAAGCUCAACAGAAAGCCCAACGGUGUACAGCAACGGUUUCCAGGCCUCUCAUGACAAGGAUAAGAAAACCUUCCAUCUGGAGAAAUCCUCGGUGCAAGUGUCUGACUCGGCUGUGUACUUCUGUGCUCUGAGUGACACAGUGAGGGAGGCUGUGGGGGAAGCUGAGCAUAAACCCAGAGGGCGCAGGUGGGGCUGA